GAGGGUAUAGCUCAGUGGUUGAUUAUGUGCUCAGCAUGCACAAAGUCCUGGGUUCAAUUCCUAGCACCUCUA
rnacentral:tRNA from 1 species